AUUCCAUGAUGGGGACAUUCUAGGAUGUAGUCUUGGAAGCGCUCUCAUGCUUCUGGAUCAGAUUCAUCAUGUUGUUGCUGAAAACUUGUAAUCUUCCCACGGAGAGC
rnacentral:snoRNA from 1 species